rnacentral:tRNA from 1 species
GCCGGUGUGGCGGAAUUGGCAGACGCGCGGGACUCAAAAUCCCGUGCCUUCACGGGCGUGUCGGUUCGAUCCCGACCACCGGUA